UACAGAGGUCCCAAGCGUUGUUCGGAUUCACUGGGCGUAAAGGGUGCGUAGGUGGCGAGGUAAGUUUGAUGUGAAAGCUCCGGGCUCAACCCGGAAAUGGCAUUGAAUACUCUCUCGCUAGAGGAUUGGAGGGGAGUCUGGAAUUCUCGGUGUAGCAGUGAAAUGCGUAGAUAUCGAGAGGAACACCAGUGGCGAAGGCGAGACUCUGGACAAUUCCUGACACUGAGGCCCGAAACCCAGGGGAGCAAACGGGUUUAGACCCCCCGGUAGUCCGGGCCCAAAAGGGUGCACGUUUGCUGUAGGCGGAAUCGCCCCCGCCUGUGGCGUAGCUAACGCGAUAAACGUGCCGCCUGGGGAGUACGGUCGCAAGAUUA
rnacentral:rRNA from 1 species